rnacentral:rRNA from 1 species
CCUGGCUCAGGAUGAACGCUAGCGGCAGGCCUAACACAUGCAAGUCGAGGGGUAAGGAGAGCUUGCUCUCCCUAGACCGGCGUACGGGUGCGUAACACGUGUACAAUCUACCUUUUACUAAGGGAUAGCCCGAAGAAAUUUGGAUUAAUACCUUAUAGUAUUAUUUUAUGGCAUCAUUAAAUAAUUAAAGCUACGGUGGUAAAAGAUGAGUACGCGUCCCAUUAGCUAGUUGGAGUGGUAACGGCACACCAAGGCUACGAUGGGUAGGGGUUCUGAGAGGGAUGUCCCCCACACUGGUACUGAGACACGGACCAGACUCCUACGGGAGGCAGCAGUGAGGAAUAUUGGACAAUGGUCGGAAGACUGAUCCAGCCAUGCCGCGUGCAGGAUGACGGCCUUAUGGGUUGUAAACUGCUUUUAUACAGGAAGAAUAAGGUCUACGAGUAGAUUGAUGACGGUACUGUAUGAAUAAGCAUCGGCUAACUCCGUGCCAGCAGCCGCGGUAAUACGGAGGAUGCGAGCGUUAUCCGGAAUCAUUGGGUUUAAAGGGUCCGUAGGCGGGCGUAUAAGUCAGAGGUGAAAGCACUGAGCUCAACUGAGUAACUGCCUUUGAAACUGUAUGUCUUGAAUAGUGGACGAGUUAGCUGGAAUGUGUAGUGUAGCGGUGAAAUGCAUAGAUAUUACACAGAACACCGAUUGCGAAGGCAUGUUACUAACGACCGAUUGACGCUGAUGGACGAAAGCGUGGGGAGCGAACAGGAUUAGAUACCCUGGUAGUCCACGCUGUAAACGAUGGAUACUAGCUGUUUUGGUUUUCGGACUGAGUGGCUAAGCGAAAGUGAUAAGUAUCCCACCUGGGGAGUACGCACGCAAGUGUGAAACUCAAAGGAAUUGACGGGGGCCCGCACAAGCGGUGGAGCAUGUGGUUUAUUCGAUGAUACGCGAGGAACCUUACCAAGGUUUAAAUGGGAACGACGUAUCUAGAGAUA